rnacentral:rRNA from 2 species
CAGGCUCAGGAUGAACGCUGGCGGCGUGCCUAAUACAUGCAAGUCGAGCGAACAGAUGAGAAGCUUGCUUCUCUGAUGUUAGCGGCGGACGGGUGAGUAACACGUGGGUAACCUACCUAUAAGACUGGGAUAACUCCGGGAAACCGGGGCUAAUACCGGAUAAUAUAUUGAACCGCAUGGUUCAAUGUUGAAAGACGGUUUCGGCUGUCACUUAUAGAUGGACCCGCGCCGUAUUAGCUAGUUGGUAAGGUAACGGCUUACCAAGGCAACGAUACGUAGCCGACCUGAGAGGGUGAUCGGCCACACUGGAACUGAGACACGGUCCAGACUCCUACGGGAGGCAGCAGUAGGGAAUCUUCCGCAAUGGGCGAAAGCCUGACGGAGCAACGCCGCGUGAGUGAUGAAGGUCUUAGGAUCGUAGAAACUCUGUUGUUAGGGAAGAACAAAAUUUGUUAGUAACUGAACAAGUCUUGACGGUACCUAACCAGAAAGCCACGGCAAGUAU